UCUCCUACGGGACGCAGCAGUGAGGAAUAUUGGUCAAUGGCCGAGAGGCUGAACCAGCCAAGUCGCGUGAGGGAUGACGGCCCUACGGGUUGUAAACCUCUUUUGUCGGGGAGCAAGACCCGCCACGAGUGGCGGAGCGAGAGUACCCGAAGAAAAAGCAUCGGCUAACUCCGUGCCAGCAGCCGCGGUAAUACGGAGGAUGCGAGCGUUAUCCGGAUUUAUUGGGUUUAAAGGGUGCGUAGGCGGUCUGUUAAGUCAGCGGUAAAAUUGCGGGGCUCAACCCCGUC
rnacentral:rRNA from 1 species